ensembl:snoRNA
AUAUUUUUUUUAAGAUUAAAAAGAAAAGUGUUUGCUGUGGACAUGACCAUAAAGAAAAGUUCCCAUGGGGUUUUCCACACACUACCUGACUAGCAGUUAACCUGUUGGGGACAUUU